GAACACAUCGAGGUACAUGAUAAACAAAAUAUGUUCUUGUUUAAGUAGAAACCGAUCAUCCACACAUGGAUGACAACUAGAUAGCAAACUAGAUAUUAAACUAGAAAUUAACAGACCAUUAUUGUUCAUAGUGUGCAUCACGCAAUGCACAUAAGUUAACCAGCAUAAGUUAUAACGCCAUCCAUGAUCUUACCAACCACCUCUUUCGAAUCCUUGAGCUUUUUGAUGCUCUUGUUGAGCUUCUCACGCUUGACUGCAGUUGAUGGAGAUUCCUCCAGCAUCUUUUCAAUCCCACAGCCGUGAUUAGGUCCGACUAGCUCUCCCACAAUCUCCAUCUCCAUGUCCUUGUUCACAAGGUUAGCAACGUUCAACUGCAAAUGCAAAGCCAUACUGUCAACCAGCCUUCUCAGAACAACCUUCCAAUAGGCAGUCAUCCGGAUUUUCAAGUCGUAAGCCUGAGAUAGAUCAACACUUUUAUACUUCCUCAGGCCUUCAACUUCAACCUCCCCAAUACCCCCUAUAACUAUCUUGGAAGGACGUUUCUCGUCGUUCAAACCGUCUAGGAAGGCAUUCUGCUUGGUCAUAAGCCUACUACAUUCAGCUGCAUAUUCAGGAUUACAAGUGUAAUCAGUGUGUUUCUCCAUUUCCACAAUCUCCAAGAUCCAGUUGAUUGACUUUUCUUUCAUCUUUGCUAUGAGAUUAUGGCCAGCUCUUCUGGUGGCCAAAUGGAGAUGAUAAUAGUCUUGUGUAUUAUGCAUUAGCACAGCAAGAACCACAUCCUCAAUAUAACUCCACACCUGCUCAACAAACCUGAUGGGUAUAUCUGAAAUCCCUCUCACUUUUCCCUGCAAAAUGGAAAGAAAAGCGUUGCGCGGAAGAAAAUUAGGAAGAGUGAUACCUUUAGCUUCCUCCAAAAUCCUAAUCUCCUCAGUCAAGAAAUUAACUGUUGGGUCACUUUCAUUGCACUUAAGAAGUUCAUCCGAGUACUGAUUGAGCAUCUCAACCAGCCUAGCGGGUGCAAUGCAUGCGCUUGUCACCCGGGGUAUUCGUCAAAUUCUCCUCUCACAAGAAAUUUUCCUGAGGGAUUCUUUGGAUACUCCAAUGAUUUGCAUGAAAGCAGUGAUAGCCUCAGCAUCGGAGGAUAGACUCUUUGGCAUUUUCUUGAGCUCUGAAAUGCAAGAGUUGAGCUUGUCAUUGAUCUUCUUAACGAUAUCCGGCAAGUUCCUGGCUAUGCUAGCAGCUUGAAUUUGCACCAACUUGUCAGCCAAAACAUGAAUUCCCACCAUAGACUUAUCAAUCUUUGAAAGAAGAGGAUGAGUUCGAAACAGUUUGUCGGCAUUUGCCCUUGCCUCCUCGUACGUUUCAUCUCCGAUCCGGUUCCGCACGCAGACAUAACCUAGACCAAUGUUGACAUCAUCAGCUGUAACCUUCUCAAGUAACCCUUCUGGUGCUUUAUCAACCUUGGUGACUACAGCAAGAGUCCUCUCACCGGUUUUAUCAGCAGUCUGUGACAUCUGAAUCGACUCACAAGUAGGAAAAUCAACAGUAGCAGACAACACAUUUAGUAUGAUGCACUCUUCUGGUUUUAUAUACUCCUUGAUCAUAUUUUUAAUUUGAUCACAAAUAUCUUCAGGCUGGCCAUUGAUUGGAACCCUAGUGAUUCCAGGGAGAUCAACCAUGGUCAAAUCAGGCACGCCCUUCUUUUUCACAAGCAAAGUCAAUGGGGUAUCUGAAAUACCCUUACCUUCACCAGCAAUCAAAUUAGUGGCAUUGACAAUGUCUUCAGAAAUGUUGUCCUCGUCAGUGUGCUCCACUCUGCGAUUGUACUGCAAGGAGAGCUCCGGUUCACGACUGGAAUGGUGUUGAAGCCUCAUUACGAGAGGCACCCUGGUGCAGAUACCGUGUCCACGUGGCAGGCUGAUGCCGGCGAGGGACUCGAGGACGCUAGAUUUGCCGGACGACUGGUCUCCGACGACAACAAUGGUGGGGAGCUGUAUACCUUCCUCCAUAACCAUGAGGUUACGCAGCUUGUCAACUGCAUCGAGCAGCGGACGGAUUUUGUCGUUGUAGGAUGACACGAUAGGCGCGUCCUCAACGACGCUGAGCGGUACAGCAUGUUCUGCUCCAACAACGAGUGCUGCUGAUGAACCUUCAUCUUUGAAAGUGGUUGUGGUUGAUGAAGAUGAUGAGGUGGUGGUUUUUGAACCAAGUUUUGUUUGCUUCCUAUUUCCUUCCAUGUCCGAUGAUGGUAUGAGGGUAAGAAAGAAAGAGUGGUUGUUGACGAAGAGACAAUGAAGAGUACUGUAUAUAUAAUGAAGACCAAAACUGGAGACAGGCUUGUGGUGAAAAAGAUGAAGUCUAUUUUAUUCCUUCACAAGCAAAACGCCAAACCUGUAGAUUUCCAAGUAUCUAUAUAAAUGGUACAUCACGUGUUUCUAUAUAAAUUGUGGGUUAUGUGUAUUAAAAUGUUAAUAACUUAAAAAUUAAAAUUUUUCAACAUUUGCAUAAAAACACGUGUUAUAUCAUCUGUAUUCUGGUCAUAACUAAAAAUUUUCCAACAAACACAAUGAUUCGAAAUUGCUUUUUUUUUUUUUAAGAUCAACUAUGUCGAAAAAUCAAAUAUAUUAAAAGCUAGCCCUUUAUCUCAUAUUGUCAAAAUUUAAUAUUUAAUUUAAUAAUAUGGUUCCUUUAUAUGUUAAUUAUCAGUUAAAUUACUACACAAUUUUAAAUUUAGUUGAGUUUCAACAUAUUGGAUCUAUAAAACAUGAUUUAGAAAAUAAACGUUUAUUUUUAUUGUAUAAUGCUGUAAGAUGAGAAUAGAUUCAAAAAAAAAUGCUGUAAGAUGAGAAUAGAUUCAAAAAAAAAGUUCAAAUAAGCAUUUUGCUAAAGUUAAUUUAUUCCGUCACAUGCAUAACCCCAAACCUCUGGAUUUCCAAAUAUUUAGUUGAAGCGAUAGAAGCAGACCCUUCGAUAGCCAAUUGUGCUGAUGGGAUGUCCACAGUACAUAGUACACUAGAUAUUAUCACAGUAUUGGAUGUGUCAAGAAAUAAGAGGAUGUUACUGAUUUUCUAACUUUUUAGGCUUUUAUUUUCAAUUCCGGAUUCUCGCCGAAUUUUAUUUUGAGAAUUUUAGAAAUUCGUAAAUCGUAUUUGGUAAUUAUAUAUCGGUUAGAAAUUAUUUAAAAUAUUUUUAUUUAAAAUAAAACAUAAAUAAUAUCUGAUAAAAACUGAUUAUACGAUAUUCAAUGAACGAACACGAAUCACAAAUUAUCAGAAUUCUCACCAAAAGAAUCCGAAAAGAAUCAUGUUGAUUUAUUUUCAUUUUCAAAUGUUAUGAUUCGAACGAUGACUUUUUUAAAGAUUAACUAUGUCAAAAAAUCAAACAAUAAAAUGAGAAAGAUUAUCUUGACAAAACAAAAAUAAAUGAGAAAGAUUAUUUAAAAAGUAAAUUGUUCUUAUUAUUAUACAACGUUGCAAGAUCAAAAGGAAAAUUGAAAAAAAAUAAAUAAAUAUAUUUUAAUCCUUAAACAAGAUGAAGUUUAGAAAAAUGUUUUAUACAAGAUUAAAAAUUGAUUUUUAGUCUCUAGACUCUAUUUAAUGUCAGUAUAUGUAUUUAAUGUCUCUUAUUUAUUUAUAAUUUUAUGGUGUUCAUAAAUAAGAUUUUAAGAUUAUAUUAUAAAUUUUAGGGGCACUUUGGAUGCGGUCCUUAGCUAUCAAUAUUCUUUGAUUGAAACCUUGUUAGUUUUUAGUUUUUGAUUGAAGUCCCUGACAUUAAUGUAAUAAUGUAAGUUACUAUAUUUUUUAAAUUAAAAAUUAAAAAUUGAAAUUUGUAAUUGUUUAUAUUAAUGAGAUUUUAAAUAAAACCCAUAAUUUUAUGGGAUUAAAAAUAAUAAAAUAUAAAUUAUACUCUCUAUUAUAUUGUGUGUGUGUGUGUGUACAUAUAUGUAUGGGUACAUUAACCAAAAUUAACAAAAAAGUUAUUGUACCAAAACAUGGAUACAUUCUCAAAUCAACGAAAAAAAAUGUACCCAUAUAAGUUUAAACAUGGAUUAAAAAAUUUGAAAGGAUUUUAUAUUAAAAAAAGGGUACAUUUUACAUAUAACAAUUUCAUAUAUUUGAGAAUGGGUACAUUUAAGAUUAAAAAAAUUGAAAAAUUAUAUGAAUGGGUACAUUUAAGAUUAAAAAAUUGAGAAUCUUUUUAUAUAUAAAAAAAAACUAAUAGGUACAAACUUAAUUUAAUUUAAUUUUUUAUUAUUUUGGAAAUGUUUGAAUUGAAAAUUAAUUAGAAGUUUAAUAGAGGUGUGAGUAUUAAACCCUAAAUUAAUUACUAAUUUUUAUAUUAAAAAAUUAUAUAAUAAACAUGUAAAUUCAUUAUUACAUUAAUGCUAGGGACUUGAAUCAAAAUUUGAGAACUAAUAAGGUCUUAGUCAAUGAAUAGUAAGAACUAGGGGACCGGAUACUAAUUUUUCCUAAAUUUUAAUUCUCAUUAUAGUAAGUAUAUUAUUGAUAGGAUUUUUACUACUCAUGUGAACGGGCUUAAAUUUCCUAUUUUACUUGCAAGAAUCACAAGGUUAUUGUAGUAUAAACGGAUUUCGCAAGGUCAUCUCCACAUGGACUAUUAAAUCAUUCGAAACUAAUCAGAUUCCAUUUAAUUACUGUAAAGUAGAAGUUUAGGUGAUUGAUUUUAUAACCUAAUUAAAAUAAAAACGAAAUUAAUGAAUUAAAAUAAACAAUCUGCAAUAUUAGAGCUGUCACAGCCCGUCCCGGAAUUUUAAUUCCGAGGACGUGAAAUUACAGAAAUACCCUUAAACGGGAUUAAGGUGUGUAAUUGUAUGACAUUUGUUUUACUUUAAGAUCCUAAACUAUGGUUAGAAUUAUUUUAUUGUAUGUGUUAAUAUUAUAUGGGUUAAGGUAGGGCCUUAUACCCUGAAAUCCUUCCCCAAAACCCGUUUUGUUGUCUCUCUCUCAUCUCCUUAGUCACUCUCUCUCUUAUUCUAUCAUUUCAGACUCUCUCUCUUACUCUCGAACUCACUCGAACUCACGGCAAACACCAAGCAUAACCACAAUCCUACACCAACGUCCAAUCUAAGAUCACCAUCGUGAUCUUGGGAACUUCACAAGCACGGGGGUAUAAGUUUCAGGUGAGUUUCACUUCGGGAAACCCUAGUUUUUAAAGCCCCGUGAUUUUGUACUGUUCACAACUUAAAUAUGGUUAUGUUUUAGGUUAAAACAAGAUCACCACGAGUCUUAGGAAGUUCCAAGGAGGCUCGGAGUGCCUCGUUUGAACAAAAUGGACGUCGGGAUCGUUGGGUUCGAGUUUGGCCGAAUUUGAGGAAUUUUGGAAGGUAUGAUCUUGUUGUUUUUAGACCUUAAAACCCUUCCAACGUGAUAGUAGGUGUUAAAUGAUUCAUUUUGGUAUAAAUUACGUGAAAAAUGGACGAAAAAUGAAGAAGAAUAGUGAAAUUGAAAUUUUUCCCAGUUUUCCGGUGACCGGAGUCCGGCGAGGGACCGUCGGAGAAGACAAUGGAAUAUUCCGUUAACUUUAACGGAAUAUUCCUAACGCCGUUACCGUUACCGUUGGGUUUUAACGGAAUAUUCCGAGAAUAUUCCUAACGGCAGUUACUGUGCCGUCAGUGUGCCAAGCACGUGGGCCGCGCGUGGGGGCGCGUAGGGCAGUGCCACGUCAGGCGCGUGGGGGCGCGUGAGACCUCCAAAAAUUAUUUUAAAAAUAUGGGGAUGAUCCUGAGGUUGUGUAGGUCACUGUGGUAUAUUCAUAUACCCAAUUUGGGCAUCGUAUGAAGAAUUAAUUGUCUAGUUUGGUUUAGGUGCGUUAAAUGUGCGUUAAAUGAUUGUUUUAAGUUAUUUCACUUAUAGGUGGGUCAUAUAACGAGGACGAGCACAUCCAGGGGCGUCAAGGGGGUUACGACCCGGCGACAUACCAGUGAGUGUGCAUUGUUUUCUAUAUAUAUACCUAUAUACUCGAUUUCCCCAGAAAUCAAAUCUAAAUGAAAAGUAUAUUGAAAUGAAAUGAAAUAUGAUGUGAUUGCCAUGCAUAGAAUGUUAUGGAUAUUAUGAACUGUCGUAUGAUGCAUAUAUGUAUGAUGGUGCUGUGGACGCACAGGUAAGUAUUUAAUUAAUAUUAUGAUGAUGAUGACAUAUACUGAGCUCAUAUCCUGCACCAUGGUUUAGUGCUUAUAGUAUUCACCGCAUCGCACGCUCGUCUUGGAUCCAAGUAGAUGCUGGUCGCACAGUCCACGCGGAGUGGGUGCGACGGGCCAGUCUUAGAGUGUUAGUGAGAUUAUGACUGGUGGGUGACCUUAGAUUAUUGUAUACAGAUGAUUGAUGAGAGAAGCACUAGAGCGAAUAUUACCAUGAGUCGUUCAGACUACAUUAGGUGGUUCCGACUUAUGUGCAGAAGGUCGGACAGGUCACAGAGGUGACUCCGGCAGAGUGAGAUUGAUAGAUGUUGAGCUCUAGGUUCAAUCGUUCAGGGCUAUUAGAGGGCCUCCGAUUGAUUGUUUCUUUUACCUGAUUUAUAUCAUGUCAAUGCAUUCAUAAACUGUUGAAAUUGGCAUGGUACAUUCUUAUUGAAUCUGUUAUAAGAUUGAUGAUCGAGAUGUUGAGAUAUAUAUGCUAUAUACUAUUUUUCUGGGAAAGUAUACAGGUUUUCCAAAAAGGGGUUAUAAAUGUGGAUUUAUGAAAUGAUUUGGAAAAAGCUUGAUUUUCGCCCACUCACGUUUUCUGUUUUUCGCCCCUCCAGGUUCUAGUUGAUAGUUGAGGUGUUGGUGGCCUACGAGGACUACUUCGUGUUUCUGACAGAAUAAAUAAAUGUAGGACUCACCUGAGGGUGUUGUAAAAUAGCUAUGUUCCUACUUGACUGCACCUAGAUGCUUAUGCUCUGUUUACGUGUGUUUAGUACACUUUUAUGCACAUAGAAUGCUAAGUUGUUAAUAACUGUAUAAUUAGUGGUUUUCGUUGACUCGUAUUUUGUUAUAUAAUCGUUUCCGCUUGCGUUUAUGGUUACGUCACGCUCACGUGACGGCCAGCACGUCCUAGUCUUCGGGUUAAGGGUGUGUCAAGAGCUAGAGAGAAGAAAACAGUUUUGGGAGUAAAAUUAAGAAAGCACUAGGAUUCUACCAUCACCUAGCAAUCCUAUGAAUUUUUACCAAUUACUUAUGAUCUACACAUGCCACUUUGAAGGUUAGAUUUUCCUAAUUCAUAUUCUACUUGGAACCUCCAACAUAGAACGUAUAUCUAACAUACAACCCGUCCGGACGUUCGGAUCAAAUCUGAACAUGAAAGACUCAUUAUGCUUUAUGAAAAUCCUUUGAAAAACCAUGCAAUCCUUAAGACGUGAUAUUCAUCCUAAGUGAAAUUACAAUUAUUAAUCACAAGAAGCCAGCGUCAAUUUUAGGGAACCUUCUGACUAAAAUUGCAUCAAAUUAUUUUUCUAAAUAUCCUAAUGCUGAUCAAGCAUUAAGACAAUUAGAUAGUUUUUAUCCCGGUGAUUAACAAUUCAAAGUAUGCAUGCAAUCAAUCAUAAACAAUUAAAUAAAAAUCACAUAUUCAUGCUAAGGCUCAAGGCUUCGCCCUAGCAAAAAAAAAUUAGUUCUGCAUAUUCAUAAUUGAAAUCAUAGAAAAUAUAUUCAAGAAAAGGAUUGAAAGUACCUCCAAGUAAAAAGUCUCCAAAACCCUAACAAUUCUCUCUGUCUCCAAAAUUGCUUAAAAGAAGCGUAAAGAAAAAUGGUAGACGGCCAAGCAAUAUAUCUGCUAAGCCUCCACACAAACCCUAAAAACUAAAAUUAAUAAUCCAAUAAAUUAGGAAACAUAACCCUAAAUUAAAUGGUAAAAUUUGCCUAAAAUCUGAACAGCCAUGUUUUGGACCCAUAAGCUGCUCCAAAACUGGCCCAAUAUAGCUGGAUUUAAUGUUUAGAAUAUUCUGAACACUUUUCCAGAAGGCCACGAACCCAUCCGAGGUCAUCUUGGGCUCCAAAAACGUAAUUUAAGCCCAAAAACGUCAUUUUUCAGCACUGCGCACUGCUUCUUUAUUUCAUUGCCAGAAAAUAACCGCUAGGUGGAAAAAUCACAAAUUUUGAUACGAUCAAGCUAAGUGACUCACGAAUGUCCUCCAACUGGAAUUACUCCAAAAUUCGUCCAUUUGGUCCUGUUUUGCUUCAGAGGAAGUCGAAAGUCCUAUAUUGAAAAUACAAUUCAAAGUAUCAAAAUUCUUCCAAAAUAUUAACCAAAAUAUACUAAGAUUAGGGUAAAAUAUAUAAUAUAAAAUCUACUCAUCAAAAUACCCCCAAACUUAGCUUUUUGCUUGUCCUCAAGCAAAACAAGACUCAAACAAAAAUAAAAACUUAACAAACUAGACAACUAGCUAAAAUUAACUGACAAAAAUUUGACCUUCAAAGUUGCAAUCCAUAGCAAAUUUUAAAAACUAGAACAUUUUUUCAAAAGUUCCAACCAAUCCCACCACAGAGUCUAAACCAUUUAGAACAAUUAGAAAAGAAUUCACAAACUUCCUUUGGUGUAAAGUGAACCACAUAAUUAAGGAGACUCGACUAAAACCCUUACCUCUCGUCCUUCUUUAUUUCACACAUACUAACUUUAAAUAUAACUAUUUUUCUUUUUCUUUUUCUUUUCAAUUUUUUUUCUGGCUCUUUUUUUUUUUUUUUUUUCAGUAACAGUAGUGGUCGUGCAAUGUCGGUUCACUUAAGCUUUCAAUCCAAUCCAUGUAGCGAGCUUUAGGUCAAUGAUUCCCAAACCACUAGGGCUUUAGGGCACUAAGUGUAGAACACUCCUAAGGACUUAUUAACCCGAGCUGAAAAGGCUACGAAACCAAUUAACCACCCUGCCCCAUGCCAAAAUUCUACCGUUUGACGCGAGAAUCACUGCUGAUUAGGCAGGACUGGCCCGGUUACUAGGCAAAACCUCGGGUGAGACAAUUAUUACUUUUUUCACAAUAAUAACUGACUUUACUUAAAACAAAAAUUAAAAAUAAACUUAGACUAAAAGCAAGUGUUUCAAUCUCACUCCCCACAAACCAUGUUGGUAUGAUGUGCAAAGUUCAAAGUAUAAUUCAUGAAUUAGUGUCUAAGUAACGAUAAAUAGCAAAGACUCUAAUGUGGGAUUAAUCUUCACCAUGUCCAUUUGUUCUAACGUUUAAAAUAAUCUAUGGAUAUUAACUUAACAAGAAUGAAAAUUUUAAACUGACACAAUAAUAAAAAAACUAAAAUUUACUUUCCCACCCCCAAACUUAUUUCACACUUUGUCCUCAAAGUGUGAAAAAAAAAAUGUAGCAACAACCUUACAAAGAAAAUUAAAUAUUACAAAGGACACUAACUAAACCUAUGAAUAAUUAACAAAAAGAGGACAAAAACGGCAUGACAAGGAACAUAAUAAAAAACAUUAAAAAAAAAUUUGAAAAGAAAAAACCUGAGAGAAGUGGACUCCAUUGUGGCAUGCAAUUUGAAAAGUGGCAUGCUUUGAACAAUAAGCCAUGAUGGAGGGCAGCCAAUAAAUUGUUUUUUUUUUGAAUCUACGGGCCACUUGCUGCACGCAAUGCCCUUUUGAUAUAAACAUUGGAUUCCCUUUAAAGAAAGGCAUGCAGCUGGCAUCAGUCGUCUAUCUCUGUCAAUCAUCAAACACAGAGGCCAAACGGCUCUCUCCCCUCUCUUCAAACCAUGUCCUAGGGAGCAUAAAAACUGAGGAUGCACCCACUUGUCAUGCAUCAGGCAAGGGAUCUCCAUAGGAUUCGAAUGGAACGAUUAAGAUCAACCUUACUUUUCUGAAGGCUUUGUAAACAGCAAGUCUCUCACAUUUCAAUAGAGACUGAAAGAAGUCUUUCAUUUAUCUAGGCCCACAUUUCAAUGCAUCCUUAUUAUUCUCCAUGACAGCCAAUAUAUUGAUUAAAUUGGACAUCGGCACCUGGAAUUUAAUAACCCCCAAGUUCCUUCAUCUAUCAAUAAGAUAGGAUAGAGAAAAUAACUACUUUAGACUACAAUGCCCUGAGAGGUCAGCUCAAUUCAGUUAUGCUUUCUACAACUACUAAACUCAACUGGUGCCCAUAUAACUAACAUACAGUUCUGUCAAGGUAAAUCAUACUGCUCAAGUCUUGUGAAACACAAGAAAUCCAAUCAAGACACAAACUGAUAAACAAUCUAAAGAAUUAAAGCCUUAAAUUUUUUUUUUGUCAAAGGAUAGCAUAAAUUAAAGACGAAUCAAAAGGUUUACAUCUUUAGCAAGGGCAUUAAACAAAAACUCUGGGCCAAUACAAUCCCAGAUAAAGUCACGACCUUCCUUGAACACGUGCUUAGCCACCAAGUGAGCAGCAUGAUUGCUCUCCCUAGGCACAAACGCGAACGUCACCGACGUCAACAUUUGCGCUAGGAUCUCAAUAUCGCCAAAAACACAAUCCAAAUUACAGUCGAUCGUCACUUCCUUUUUGAUCAUUUGAAUAAUCAGCUUAGCAUCAGAUUCAAUAACAACAUGUUUGAAUCUAUGGGUAAUACAAGCCUUCAACGCAUUACGUAUCGCGAUUGCUUCGGCCGCCGCUGCGCUAAGGCAACGCACAGUACCCAUUCCACCCGCAGCUUGGAGCACCCCAGCAAAAUCACGCCCCACCCAACCCACACCAGCACGGAGGGUUACCUUGCACCAGGCCGCGUCCGUGUUGAUCUUGAUGGUCCCGUACCUAGGUCUCUGCCAGUGAAGGCUGAGACGGGCAGUAGCAGGGAGGGGGUGGCAUCCAAGUUCCACGCAUCAUCUCCCAAACUGGUUGAAGCCUCCCUAAAUUCAAUAAUGUUCUUCCACCAUAAAUCCAUAACAUCUAGGGGCUGUCGAUACAGCCCUUUAAAGACAACAUCAUUCCUGUUUUUCCAUAGUCUCCAUAAUCCAAAAGCAAAUUCUUGACAUAUCUCCUCUGCAUUUUCCUUACCUUUCAUGCCCUCAUGGAACUUUCCCCAACUAUCGAGAAAGUCAAAGCCUUCCAGUUCGUGGGAAUUCAGGUGAAGAGGAGAGCAGAACCAGAAAAUAUGACUGAACCUGCAUCGGAAAAAUAUGUGAUUCUCAAUUUCAUCCACCGCAUUACACACUCCGCAGACAUUGUCAACCCUCAUGUGACGUCUCUGGAUAUUUCUCCGCACAGCCAAAGCAUUGUUGCAACAACGCCAAAUAAAGAGCUUGAUUUUAUUAGGGACCUGUAGGCGCCAAAUCCUGGACCAAAUCUUGUUUAGCUGCAUCGGCUCACUAGAGGCACCUAGCCCCUUCUUUCCCAAAGCUCCAUUUUCCAUCAAUUCCAUAGCGAUCCCACAUCCGGAUUUCACGGAAUAAACCCCAUUCACAGAGUGGUGCCACAUCAAUCUGUCUUCACAGCCAAAAUGACUUAGCGGAAUACUAAGAAUAGUAUCUGCAUCCUCACGUUGAAAACCUGCAAAAAUGAUGUUAGCCUUCCAAGAAUUUGAACCCGGAUCGAUUAAAUCACAAACCAUAGUGGCAUCCAGGUUUUCUGAAGGACAAACUCUGAAGGUAGAGGGUUUAGGGAACCAAGGGUCAUCUCGGAUAUUUAUACAUUUUCCGUUCCCGACCCUCCAUCUAAUCCCCUUCAGCAGGACCUUCCGGGCCUCAUAAAUACCUUUCCAUCCCCAGGAAGUGAGCUUCCCUCUCCCAGCUUCUUUAAAGGAACACCCAGGAUGGUAUUUGUCUUUCAGUACUGUAGCUAGCAGGGACGUCGGAUUGCAAGUCAAUCUCCAUCCAAUUUUAGCUAGCAUUGCCAAGUUGAAACACUGAAUGUCCUUAAAACCCAGGCCUCCUGACAUCUUCCAUUUCGAUAUCCUAUCCCAGGACACCCAAUGAAUACCGUGGCGUUGAUCGUUACCUUUCCACCAAUACUUCCGAAUGGCUUUCUCAAUGUCCCUGCACACUUCAAUAGGGAGCUUAAAACAACUCAUGGCAUAAUUUGGUAAAGCCAUGGCCACGCUUUUGAUUAAAACUUCCUUACCAGCUUGGGAUAAGUAUUGUUCAGUCCAUCCAGCCAACUGGGCUUCCACCUUAUCGCGAACCUCCGCAAAGAUAGCUUUUUUUUAGUGACCAAAAUCUGCCUGCAGCCCUAAAUACUUCCCAAAACCCUGCUUACUUUGGAUCCCCAACGUUCCCUCAAUUUCCCUCUUUGUGCGGUUAGGGGUUUUAGGGCUGAAGAACACCGAACUCUUGGUUAAGUUAACUUCUUGACCAGAUCCGCAAGCAUAAACCUUCAGAGCUUCAGCAACCGCACGCGCAUCAUCCACUGUGGCGUUGCCGAAAACAACUGAAUCAUCAGCAAAGAAAAGAUGGGUAAGCGGGGUUCCCGUGGCCGUGACCUUGAAGCCGUGGAGAGCACCAAGUUCAAGCCCUUUCCUGAGUAUCACCGAGAGGCCUUCAGUGCACAAGAGAAAUAAAAAGGGGGAGAAGGGAUCACCCUGUCUCAAACCUCGCUGCGGCACGAUGAACCCGGUCGGGGUUCCAUUAACCACAAUGCUGAAAGAUACAGUGGAGAUACAUGCCUUAAUCCACUUGCAAAAUAGGGGCGCGAACCCCAACUUGGACAUAAUGGAGGUAAGGAAGUUCCACUCGACCCGAUCAUAGGCUUUAGCCAUAUCAAGUUUGAUAGCCAUACCAGCCUGGUCCUCCCUCUUUUGAUGAAGCAAUGAGUGAAGGACUUCGUGAACCACAAGAAUAUUAUCCUGAAUUUGUUUACCAGCAACGAAGGCAGACUGAUUAUCCCCAAUCACUUUAGACAUCACCCCUUUUAACCUGUUGGUGAGAACCUUAGCAAGAAUCUUAUAAAUUACGUUACACAGGGCAAUGGGUCUAUAUUGCGCCAUAUUCUUUGGGCAUCUGACUUUUGGGAUGAGAACCAAAUUAGUAUGGUUUAGCUUUCGCAACAGAGUACCGGAAUGCCAAAAGGCUUUAAUGAUCUUAACCACAUCCUCUCCCACAGUAUUCCAAUGGUCUUGAUAGAAGCAACCAGAGAAUCCAUCCGGUCCCGGAGCCCGAGAAGGAGGAAUUUGAGAGACCACCAAUAUGAUUUCAGCGGUAGUCACCGGGCCAGUCAGUGCAUUGUUAUCCUCAGGUGUGAUCCUGGCUUCAACAUUUCUCACAAUAUCAUCGAUUUGAUUCGAUCUAGAAGAUUGAAACAAGUCAGUAAAAUAGACAACAGCCGUGUCGGCAAUCACCUUGUCCUCCUCGUGCCACACCCCUUGGGAGUCUUCAAUCCAUCGAAUCUGAUUUAGCCUCCUUCUUUUUAGCGUCUGAGCAUGAAAAAACUUGGUGUUCUUAUCCCCCUCAUUAAGCCAUUGAUUCCUAGACUUAGUUUUCCAGUAGCGCUCUUCGUCCUUAUGGGCUGCCCUGAGAUCUUUCUCUUUUUGCUUAACCGCCUCAGAGGAGAAAUCCUUAGACUGAAGCGCCACUCUGAUCUCAGCUUUUAAAAGUUCAACCUUCUUUUUAGAGUUCCUGCCAGUUUCUUUAUACCAGAGCUUAAGACUUUUCCUGAGCGUUUUAAUUUUCUCACAGAACCGGUAAGCAUGGGAUCCACUGGUCUUAUCUUUCCACUCCCCCACCACAAGCUCACGACACUCCUUCGAUUUACUCCAACGACCAUCAAAGGAAAAUUUCCUACCUCUCCAGGCCCGAAACUUUUCCGUAGAUAGCAGCAGCAUAGCAUGGUCCGAACCUUCAAGGUCAACAUGUCUGAUAAUAGUAUCAGGAAAAAGGUCGUGCUACCCAUGAGUAACAAGGCCGCGGUCAAGCCUCUGCUGAAUGGGAAGAGACUCCCUGUUAUUUCGCCACGUGAAGGGGUAUCCUUCAUACCCCAGAUCCAUGAGGUCGUUACCUGCCACAAAGCCUCGGAAAUCUCUCAUACUAGCCGCACCUCUGAAGUUCCCGCCUUCCUUUUCUUCAUUACACAAAAUAUCAUUAAAGUCUCCCAAAAUAAGGCAUAUAUCAUUGUCUUUCUCAAUCCGUUUACUCAGGGACACCCAUUGGAUUCGUCUGUUCCUCUCAUCAGUGCUUGCAUAAAUGGCAAACAGACGCCAGAAGCAAUUGAAGGAUUCAUCCCAGAGCUUUAUCUCAAUCAUAAAUUCCUCAGAGUUCAUAAGAAUAACCUGAACUUCAUCCUUCCAGAACACACAAAGACCACCUCCAAUUCCUCGUGGUUCAACCGCAAAUAGAUGCUCCAUUUUAAGUCUCUUUUUCAAGUGAACAUAGUUUUUACUGUUGUUCUUUGUUUCAAGCAGAAUCACUAUGUCAGGGGUGUGGAGCCGAUAUUGCUCCAUCAGGUUGUCAACUGUCAGGUCACCCCCAAUACCCUGACAGUUCCAUGCGAUUAUCUUCAUGGAGUCGUAGGGGACCCCUUUCGGCUGGUCCCCUCCGCCUCAGCAUCAGGACAAUUCCUGAUUUUGGAUCUUUUUGGCUCCGCACCCUUCUCCAUAGUGCUGUACUCCACUUCCUGAAAGGGUCUUUUUUUCCUCUUUGAAUCUUUCAUUACCGCCUCAAUAAUGGGCACUAGCUCAAAGGGGUCAUCCUCCAUGUCUCUAACUUCUCCAGUGUGUGUCACCUCUCUUUUCUGCCCCUCACAACUCACCUCAAUGUUGUUCUCUGCAGCAUUAUAGUCCUCCACUACAAGUGGCUCACUGUUUAAGUCAAAACUCUGCCCCCGUUCUGCUGACAAGCAUGGAUCAUUCAGCUGUGCUUCCAUUUCAGGGGGUUUAUGAAGGAUAAUGUGAGUAGCAGUAUCUGCAAUUACCCCUCCAGGGCCAAUUAGCCCUGCAUCAAAGGCUGUUUCUCUGGCCUGUCGUGCAUUCUCCUCUUCUAUCCGUUGGUUACGUAUCUUUUCAGCCAGCAUUUUUCCGCCUCUUUCAAUUUUGCUUGAUGACCAACGAGGUUUACUAGGUGAGGUAGCAGUAUCAUUCUCCUCCUCGUUUCCCUGAUCAGUGUACUCACUCCCGCUUUGUGGGGUGUGCCCUCCGUAUUAUGAGCGACUUCCCAUGCCGGAGGCCAUUGAAGAUCGGUCAGAUCGCUUACCAUCGUCUUGCUCAUCAUGUCUCUUACUUUUCCAACUGCCCGUCUCAACCCCUCCACCAUUUGACCCACGAGAUCCCUUACUUCUGAUCCCCGAUCCUAAAUGGUUCCCUCGUAAGUCGAUAACAACAUCUAGACCUUUGAAACCUAACCCAUCAUUUAAAUCCCCAGAGCCCUCUCCUUUCACCCCCUCCUCCCGUGUAUCGGUGCAUGCUCUUGUUGUAUGGCCCAGCAUCCCACACAUUAGACAGUAUUUCGUUAGCGCCUCAUAUCGGAAGUCAACCCAGAUCCUUCCAUCAUCAGGGAAGUCUACAAAGGUACCACGCAUAAGAGGUUCCCGGACAUUAAAUCGGAUUUUGACUCGGAGAAAUCUCCCAAUGCAAUCCCGACUUCCGGACUUAUCCACCUUUCGAACCGUACCCAUCAGACCCCCAAUAGAUUCCGCCACAGCUUGGGUCAUAUUUAGAACCGGAACAUUGUGAACUUGAACCCAGAAUGUGCCAAGGUGUAACGGAGUCCAUCUAUUUAGCCCUUUAGCAGAUCGGUCCGCCGUCAUAACCAAAUCCCCUUUGAAGAACCAAGGUUGGUCAGCUUCAACGAUCCUUAGCAAAUCCUGUUGACUCGCAAAACGUGCUAAGAACCUGUUUUCUCCAAUAUCCCUAAUGGAGACCCCUUCCCGUCCUCGCCAUAGUGACAUAAAGCAAUCAAUGAACACUUCCCCAUUCACCACCUUAGAGGUGAGAACCUCGGCAAUCAUGGUGUAUUGGAGGCCCAAUAAAGCACCUUCAACAUCUUUCCUUUCGAUACAAAUGCCUCCGCGCUCUUUCUCUGACAAUCUGAGUUUGGAUCUGAAUCCUGCCCCCAGGUCUUCCACAUCGCUCUUAGGUUCAUCCCUUGCCAUGCCCGUCGCCCACUGCUCCACCAGGAACGGGAUCCUAGAUCUGCACAGCCAGGCAGUGAUGACGCCUCCGAACCACGAACUCCGAUAGAUCUCCCAAACACACCCGGAAUUACCCACUAUAACCUUAUAUAUCUAUCCAAUCUAUAGAUCUAUAACAGGGAAGCCGCAAAUUUAGAGAUUCCUUACCAGAAGGCAGAGGGAUUCUCAGAUUCCACCAUGUAGGAGCCCACCAUUCAAAACCCAGGAACCCUCCUCGCAGGGCACCCUUCUUUCAUGAACACCGCUUCGCGCUCCUAUACCCUCUCCGCAACCCGUUUUCCACAACCCUAGCCGCCCUCUCGGUUUCCUACUUUGCCCUUUCCUUCUCACCUACCGGACAGAAGCACCAAGAACCCUAGACUAUCUCCGACUCAAAGGUAGCGAAGAUCCCCCUAGGCCGCCGCUCAAUCGUACCGAAAGCCUCAUUUCGAGGCACCCACCUUACCCCUUAGCCAUCAAAACAUUGAAACUACCCUUGAAUUAAAGCCUUAAAUGGAUGCAUCAUCUUGCAACAAAGCAAAGGUAAGAAAUUGCAAUCCCCAAAAGCAUUUCAAUAUUAAACACAAGAAAUCCAAUCAAGACACAAACUGAUAAACAAUCUAAAGAAUUAAAGCCUUGAAUGGAUGCAUCAUCUUGCAACAAAGCAAAAGUAAGAAAUUGCAAUCCCCAAAAGCAUUUCAAUAUUAAACACAAGAAAUCCAAUCAAGACACAAACUGAUAAACAAUCUAAAGAAUUAAAGCCUUAAAUGGAUGUAUCAUCUUGCAACAAAGCAAAAGUAAGAAAUUGCAAUCCCCAAAAGCAAUUCAAGUCAUCAACAGAUGAAGAGAAACUAUUCAAAGAAGUUAGAGGCGAUAAUAUGGAAAAAGCUCAAGAAAUAACAAUUAGAAGAAAUUUAAGUUGAAAAAACGUAUUUCACCAUUAGCUCUCCUCGAACUCCAGCUUCUUCAACAGCUUCCCUUGCGGCUGCCUCCUCAACAGUUUCAUCAUUCUCCCAGCCUCCCUGCAUGUGAAUAACAUAUUCUUAAAUUAAAUAGUAACUUAUUAUAAGUUCUCUACUUCCCGCACACCCGAAGAAGCACAUAAUCACUUUGAGAGAUAAUUUAGCCUUCCAAAUCAGAAGAGAGAUGAAACAAUGAAAUAGAUUGAUUAUGACAUAGGAUCGGCAAGAGAAUGUCCCAGUUGACUCCAACUUCCACCUCCUACUGUCUGGUCUAGAUGAGUGUAAUAUACCAUUUUCUAAAAGUCCCUUCAACCAAUUAUCCACUACAACAAGAGAAAUAAGUGAUGCCUUGAGAAUGUAUUUCCUUGGGAGAUGACUCUAGCCACUCACUAUUUUGGACUUCCAGCCAUUAACAUAAAUUGAAUAUUUUGUUUCUGAUCAUAGGCUCAUAGAAUUCCAUCUGAAAUCCCUUUCCAAAGGGAAACUCCAAAGUAGUUCCUUGUUUAGUUUACUCAUAUUUAAAUUACCCACCACUAGUGUAAAACUCACUAGUUUAUGCACACUUUCUUUGGAUAUCAUAAAUAAAAAGAGCAAAAAACAGAGGAAGCCAAAGCACAUGAGAUUGUAAUGUAUAACCCUAUAAGUAUGUACAACAUAAAUAUUUUACAAGUCAACAAAGAAGUCACCACAUUUAACUCAUCAAACAAAAAGUUACAUUUUCAUAAGGAUUUGACGUGAUCAUGGAGUGCCGGCUGUCGACUACCUGACGCCCUCCCCCUCCUCCAUGCUUAUGAGCUGCACCUUGCUCUCCUUUUAUAGCCAAAGAAAAGCUUCUUAAAGACAUCAAUGGCCAAAGGCCUAACAUCAAGUCAAAAAAGAGUUAGGCACAAAUUAGGCACAAAUUAGGCACAAAUGUUGUUUGCCUCCCAUUACCACAAAGUAGCCCAAAGAUUUGGACUUUGACUACAUGUUUGAGUCAAUAAUCAACAAUCUCCACCUUGACUCAAACCCUUUAAGUAGAACUCCUAAUAGUCGUCUCCCAAUCCCCCAUGGGGCAAUCAACAAAUUUUACAAAUGCCAAUCAAGUCUAAGCAGUGCUUAAACUUGUGCAAUGAAACUGGCUUUGUUAACAUAUCCGCAUGAUUGUCAGCAGUCCCAAUCUUCUGAAGAAGAAUAUCUCCCUCGUCAAUAACCUCACGAACAAAAUGGAACCUCACGUCAAUGUGUUUCGUACGUGCAUGAUGAACUUGAUUCUUUGCUAAAUGAAUAGCACUCUGACUGUCGCAAUGAACAUCCACAUGGUCUUGUUGAACCCCUAAGUCAUCAAGCAACCCUUGAAGCCAGAUGGCUUCCUUUAUAGCUUCUGUCAUAGCCAUGUAUUCUGCCUCAGUAGUCGACAAAGCAACUGUAGAUUGCAGAAUCGACCUCCAACUUACUGGACCUCCAGCAAUAGAGAAUACAAAACCAGUAGUGGACCUACGCUUGUCCAAAUCACCUGCGUAAUCAGAAUCCACAUAUCCAACACAUUGACCAGUAAUUUUAUCCUGCUGGAACAAUAAACCAACAUCCACAGUACCCAGAAUAUACCGUAGAAUCCAUUUCACAGCUUGCCAAUGCCCUUUUCCUGGAUUAUGCAUAUAUCUACUGACAAUACUAACAGCUUGUGAAAUAUCAGGCCUAGUACACACCAUAGCAUACAUCAAACUACCAACAACAUUUGCAUAAGGAAUUUGAGCCAUGUACUAACUCUCUUCAACAGUUUUAGGAGACAUAGAAGCGCUAAGUUUGAAAUGAGAGGCAAGAGGUGUACUAACCGGUUUUGAAUUUUCAUUCAUCCUGAAACGUUGUAGUACCUUCUUCAAAUACUGCUUCUGACACAGACUAAUCUUGCCCUUCGCUCUAUCUCUUUCAAUUUCCAUACCUAGUAUCUUCCGAGCUUCUCCCAAGUCCUUCAUCUCAAAUUCAUUACUUAGUUGAGUCUUCAACCUUGUAAUCUCCACUUUGCUCUUACAUGCUAUAAGCAUAUCAUCAACAUAUAAAAGCAGAUAAAUGAAGGUUCCAUCUUGUAGUUUGCGAAAGUAUACACAAUGGUCAUAGUGACUUCUUGUGUACUCCUGCCCGAUCAUAAAUCGAUCAAAUCGCUUGUACCAUUGUCUUGGAGACUGCUUCAAGCCAUACAAUGAUUUUUCCAAUUUGCAAACCCAAUUUUCCUUUCCAGCAACCUUAAAACCUUCUGGCUGAGACAUAUAAAUCUCUUCCUCCAAAUCACCAUGUAAGAACGCAGUCUUGACAUCAAGUUGGGCCAACUCAAGGUCAAACUGCACAACCAAAGCCAACAAAAUACGAAUAGAAGAAUGUUUUACUACAGGAGAAAAUACCUCAUUGUAGUCAAUGCCUUCCUUCUGCGCGUAGCCUUUAGCUACCAAUCUGGCUUUGAAUCUUACAUUGUCUUUUCCCAAAGAUUCCAUCUUUUUGGCAUACACCCAUUUACAACCAAUUGCUUUCUUCCCCUUUGGUAACUGAACCAGCUUCCAAGUCUUAUUUUUAUGAAGAGAUUUCAUCUCCUCAUCCAUAGAUUUCUUCCACAACUCGCACUCUGAACUCACGACAGCUUCUUUGUAGGCGGAUGGAAUAUCAUCUUCAAUAACGGGAAGUGCAUAUGCCACAAUAUCAGUAAAUCGAGCAGGCUUUCGGAUUUCCCUUCUCGAUCUUCUGGUUGCAAUAUAGUCUUGUUGCUGUGGAAGCUCUUGGGUAGGUGCCUCCUCUUCAUCAUCUUCGUCCUCAUCAUCAGAAUUAACUGUAGGACUAGUGUUUGAAACAUCAGACCUUACUGGAACAACUGGAGUCUUCAGUAACUCCACCUGCUUUGAGCUCCUCAUGGUUUUGGUCGCUUCAGUUUCGCCUUCAUGCUUGUUCUUAUUAACCAUAGCAGCCUCAUCAAAAGUCACAUCUCUGCUUACAACAAAUUUCUUCUCAUCUGGACACCAAAGUCGGUAUCCCUUCACGCCAGUGCUAAAGCCCAUAAAUAGAGCUUUCUUUGCUCUUGGAUCCAACUUGCCUUCUCUGACAUGAUAGUAAGCUGGACAACCAAAUAUGUGUAAAAACUUGUAAUCAGUACAAGGUUUACCAGACCAUACCUCCAUGGGCGUUUUGCCCUCGUUCGCAACAGCUGGCAAUCGAUUAAUGAGAUGGCUUGCAUAAGUAAUUGCCUCAGCCCAAAAUGCCUUGCCUAAUCCAGCAUUAGACAAACAUACACCGAACUUUCUCAAGUAAAGUACGGUUCAUGCGCUCCGCCACCCCAUUCUGUUGCGGUGUCUCCCUAACCGUGAAGUGCCUCACAAUACCCUCAUCUUGACAAACUUUCAAGAAAGGAUCAGACUUAUAUUCACCCCCAUUGUCUGAUCUGAGAGUCUUGAUCUUUCGACCGCUUUGCGUUUCAAUCAUCUUUUUCCACUUCAGGAAUAUCUUCAAGACUUCAUCUUUACGCUUCAUGGUGUACACCCAUAUUCUUCUAGAGAAGUCAUCAACAAAGGAGACAAAAUAAUGGCUACCUCCCCAAGAUGCAUUCUUGGAAGGUCCCCAAACAUCAGUGUGAACAUAAUCAAGAAUGCCUUUAGUGUGUGGUGAAUAGCAGUGCCAAAUUUUACUCUAGUUUGCUUACCCAACACACAAUGCUCACAGAAUUCCAAUUUGCAUGCCUUUGCACCUUUCAAUAAGCCUUGCUUCACCAAUCCUUGCAACGCUUUUUCACCAGCAUGCCCAAGACGCAUAUGCCAUAACCUCGUGGUGUCUGUGCUAUCUGCGUCAGCAGCUUCGGUGACAGCUGCUCCACCAAUAACUGUACUCCCCUGCAAGAAAUACAAGUUAUUUCGUCUUGUACCUUUCAUCACCACCAGUGCCCCGUACACAGCUUUAAGAACUCCACCCUCCAUGGUGAUCUUGAGACCCUUGGAUUCCAAUGCACCCAGUGAGAUGAGAUUUUUCUUCAUAUCCGGUACAUACCGAACAUCACUUAAUUCUCUGACUGUUCCAUCAUGCAUCUUCAAAUAGAUUUUGCCUAUCCCUUGUGUUUUGCAGGCAUUAUUAUUACCCAUCAAAACAACUCCACCAUCCAGCUCCUCGAAAUUAGAAAACCAUUCCCGAAUGGGACACAUAUGAUAGGUGCAACCUGAAUCCAAAAUCCACUCAUUUGAGUGACCAUCAGCAUAUGAACUAGCCAAAGCAAACUCGAAAUCAUCAUCUCCAGAUUUUGCAAUAUUUGCUUCAGAACCCGCUUUCUCCUUCUCUUUGUUCUUCAAUUUGGGGCAGUCUUUCUUCUAAUGCCCCUUUUGGCGACAAAAAGCACAUUCAUCUUUAGCAGGAAACUUCCCUCGUGACUUUGAACGAGAUUUUCCCCGCUUCCCAGAUUUUCUUUCCUCUGUUCGACCCCUUGCAACAAAUGCCUCGGUUUGUGAAUUGUGAGUCUUCAGUUCCUUCUUACGACACUCAUGAUUCACCAAUGCCGCAGACACCUCAUCAAGUUUCACCUCGGAUUUUCCAUACAACAGAGUAGUUGUCAAAUGAUCAUAAUCAUCAGGCAAUGAAUUUAACAAACAUAGUGCCUUGUCCUCGUCAGGAAUUUUCACAUCAAGGUUUGCUAAAUCAGCAAGUAUUUUAUUAUAAUCAUUGAGGUGUUCGUGCAUAGAGAUACCUGGACGAUACUGAAAUCGGAAGAGUCGCUUCUUCAAGAAGAGACGAUUUUCUGCGCUCUUGGUCAUAUACUUCUCCUCCAAUUUCGUCCAUAACUCCUUAGCAGAAGUUUCCUUCAUAUACGGGUAUUUCAACUCCUUAUCAAGGAACGAUCGAAUAGCAGCACAAGCAUGAAGAUUAAUUCGCGUCCACUGCUUGUCAUCAAUAUCUUCUGGUUUAUCUUCCAGAACCAUAUCCAACUCUUGUUGAUACAACACAUCCAUAACUUCACAUUGCCACAUACCAAAAUUAUUAGAGCCAUUGAAUUUAUCAACCUCUAACCUUGUAGUAGUAGUUGGAUGUCUAUUGGAUGUAGACGAAGACGAUGCUGACCCCCUCUUUACAGAUUCAUCUUUAUCUCCAGCCAUCUACUCGGCACUGUUCACAAAUACUGCACUGUUCACAGGUACAAUACUGUUCAUAGAUACUGUAGCAGUUCACUGUUCACGGAACUGUAGCGCCAACACUAUUCACGAAACUGGGCUCUGGUACCACUUGUUGUGCGGAAGCGGCAUUCGACUGUAAGUGAAUAGUAAGACAGAACAGAAUAAAACAACAUCAACAAGAACACCAAGAUUUAUACUGGUUCGGCAAUGCCUACAUCCAGUUUGGAGACGACGGAGUAUUCCACUAUAAUCAAUGAGAACAUACAAUAGUGUUUAUCACUCAAUUUCCCAAAGACCCAAAUAACCCAAGCUCUCACACUUACAAUAGGAAGAGAAAACCAAAAAUACAAAGCAAGACAAUUUGAGAAAAUUCUUCUCUAUGCCGAAUGACUUCUUGCUAUUUUUCUCUCUUCCUUGUUCUCCUCUUGUCUCUACUCCAUGCUUAUGAGCUGCACCUUGCUCUCCUUUUAUAGCCAAAGAAAAGCUUCUUAAAGACAUCAAUGGCCAAAGGCCUAACAUCAAGUCAAAAAAGAGUUAGGCACAAAUUAGGCACAAAUGUUGUUUGCCUCCCAUUACCACAAAGUAGCCCAAAGAUUUGGACUUUGACUACAUGUUUGAGUCAAUAAUCAACAAUCAUCACUAAAACAAUAUCUUUUAUGAACUCAACUAUUAAUUGGCGAUUAUAAGGAACCAGUUUACUCUAUUUUUCAUCAUGAAAGAAAAUCAUGCUGAGAAACAAACUAAAGCAGAAGGAAAAAAAAGUCUGACAGUGUUAAUAUUAGUUCAAAUGCUAAGAGGGCACUAUAAUCAGAUUCAUAACAAAAGCAUACGUAUCUACAUUUGCAUAUCUAGGGCAAGUGAAAACAACAAUUCUGUUCCCAACCUUGCAAAUGUCAAAACGUAUUUGAGACGACACGUCUAUGGGCAUCAUAAUUGACUGAAUCAUGGACUAAAAAAAUAUCCAAUGAACUAAUCGAUCAUAUCUAUAAAGGACUACUACUCAAAAGUUUUGUAUUUUCUGCAAAAUUAAAUUCAUGACAUAAUUGGUUAUAAAAUUAAAAGGCCUCAUUCCAAUUCAAAACAAAGUAGGCUACUUCCAGUCUAGCAUCAUCAAUAAGCAGAAGACUGGCUUAAGCCAACAAAUGUUCCUUCUCCUUUUAAUCCAGACCUAUUCACACAGUUUCUGUAGAGCCAUUGAAAUAAUCCACCCCACUAGCAGGUAAUAAGAGAGAAUAUCAAGCAACUGGGGUAACUGGGAUUUAGGCUUUACAGCCUACAGAAAAUUUCUAAUAUUUUCUGCUCUAGGUUUUCAAAGCCCAGAGUCAUGAUAUGGUACUUAAAUGUAUCUAUAGGUAUCAAAAGAAAAGAAAUUAGUUUGAAGGUUUAAUACCUAAAUGUUUCCCAGAUAAAGCAAUCCUAUCAACUUAAUUUGAUCUUGAUCCCUAUCCCACAAGCAUAAGUUACUUUGAAACUAACAUUUAGCACAACUUGAACUAAUUUUUACUGUUGACCUGUUAGUGAGGCGUCAGAACAAAAAUACAAUAGUAAUCUACUAAAAAAGGGUAUUCAGAAAAAAAAAGGUCAGGAAGAAAGACCACACAACUGUAAACAUUUUUUAACUCCAGCAGAAAAUAUACAUACCUUUGGAAACAAAAGACCUGGUCCACUAGGUGAGUAUUCUCAAUGAUCUUCUCAGAAUUGGCCUCAUCGGUCUCAUCAGAAUUUUUGUAUCUAAAUGGAAUACACCUGUCAAGGUCAUCUCAGUUAGCUACUUCAUAUCAGAAAAAAUAAAAAAUUAAAACUUGUUCACAUACAUAAAAUUUAACAGUAAGUAAUCUCAAAUCUAGUUAAAGAUGAGUAAUAGAAAAACGAGAAUCUUAUGCAUAUAGAUAGAAAUGUCUGCAUGGUCGCUCAGCCCUGGCAAAUAAUUUAUUGUAUAACCAAUAACCAUACUGCCAAGCUCACACUUUAUAAGUCUGAUUGACAGGUUAUAUCAACAUUUUAAUCUACACGUCAUUUGGUUUUGGUGUAUGGGGAAAAUAAAUUAUAUAGUGAUUCUUGUCCAAAAAAAAAAAAAAAAAAAAAAAAGAAGAGAAGAAGAAGAAGAAAGACAAACAUUUAUUAGUGAAACUUCAAAUCAGAAUAAAAUAAGCCAUCUUUAAUCAAAAUUUAUUGAUGACUACAAAACUGGUAUUAAGGAAAAUUAAAUACUGAUUACAAAAUAUAUUCAACCAAAGACCAGAAAAGGGAAAUUCAUUCGCCAGCAUGUCACACUGGCCCUAAACACAGCAUAAUACAGAGGGCCACCAACCUAGACAACUCUGCCAACCCAAAAUGCAGACAUGAGACAUAAUGCAAUUCAUACGCUAUCUGCCAAUUUGUGCUACCACACAAUGAUGACUAGUCACAUGAAAAUUGAUAAGCUCCUCAUUUUUAACACAGAGGAAACCAAAACGUCACAUUCAUCUAGUGCAUAUAUGAUAUAUCACCCAAAAACCAACACAGCUUAAAUUUGCAAAAAAAUAGCAGCACCUGAUAAAAAAUUCUGAGCAAAAUAUUAUUAAAACGAAGCCCAAAUGGUUGGCUAGAAGCUAGGUGAUCACUCAUAUAUUUCAUGCAUUUAUACCAUCCACUUCUAAAGUCUUUGUGAUGUUUUUGUGUUAAAAUUGUGAUAUUUUACCUUAUCUUGUGUUAAUGUACAGUUAAUUUUAUUUUAGAAUUAAUUUCAAACGGGCUGAAAAGAAAAUAAAAGACACGGAGCAACAAAAAUAAAUGGAACGGAAAGGAAAGCACGGCAUAAAGAAUAAAAUAGGCAGAGGGAGUGGGGAUGGCAGUAAGAAAAAGAAUAAAAAGAAACGGCACAAAGGGCAGACAAGGGAGCAGAAAUAAUGGACUGAUGGAGGAAUAAUCAAAGGAAAAGAAGAAGGGAGUGCGGCACAGCAAAAAGAAAAGAAAUAAAUCAGAGGGAGUGGUUCGAAAGACACGGGCAGACAAAAUGGAGUGGAAGGAAAAGAAAAGAAAACAAAUAUAAGAAAAGGAUGAGGAAAGAGAGAGGGACACGGCAUAAACAAAGAAGAGAGGAUGGCAUACUGACGGAAGGCAGAGCACGUACUGUGCAGAGAAAUAAAAUAAAAGAGGGAGGACAGGAACAGAAAAACAUAUAUAGACACGGGGAGAGAGAGAGACGUAGCAGGGAAAAGGGAUAAAACAGGAGCAGAAAAACAGGAGCAGGGGCGCGCGCAGAAAAAGGAAGAAAAUACAGAAAAUAAAGAGAGGGCGACAGAAGAGAAGGGGAGAGACUAAGAGAAACGAGGGAAAGAAAAAAAAAAUAAAAGAAAUAAGAAAGCAGAGGGCAGCAGAGAGAGAGUCAGACGUGAGAAGAAGUAAGCACAGAGACACAGCGACAGACGAGGGCAGGCACGGCAGGAGAGGCAGAAGGAGAAAAGAAGAGGCUUCAUUCCAUUUUUCUUGGUUUUAUCUUCUCAAACUCAUGUUUAAUUUUUUGUUUAAUUUGAGAAUAAUGUGUAACUAAUUUUUAGUAGUUAGGGGCUGUUUUGAAGUCCCGAAUAUAAUUGUAAGUUUGUUGUGAUAUUUUAUUUGAAUGACUUUUAUGAAAGGAUGAAAAUUAUUUCACUACUUAUGUUAUGGAUAAAUUCUUUAUGUGUUUCUAUGGAUGCAUACAUAGUGAGCAUUUCUAGGAUUUUAAUGCUAUGAAUAUAUGUAUGUCUGCCCUUGUUGAAUGAGGACCUACAUAUGUUCUAGAGUAGCACUUGUUAAUUGUGGUUAACAUGUGAACCGAUUUCUAGGAUAAGUAAGACAACGCCAGUACUUACCAUGCCUUGUGAUGACUCAAACUCUUUUCGUUCUUAAUGAUUUCUACUUGUUAAAUCUAUGAACACGCCAUUCUAGAUUGCAUGCUAGGAACUACGUUAAGUUGAAAACGACAUUCUCUUAACAUACUACGUAAGAAAGAGUAAUAGGUUGUGUUCUAACAUUGAGCCAACUUGAGCAUCUUCAUCCGAAUAAAAGGAAUUUGAAUGAAACAUAACAUGUUUGCAUGAUUAUUUGGUGGUGGAUAACAAUUCCCCUAACUCGUUUUUCUCAAACUUGUGAUCUACUCAAAAUCUGUUUCUGUACUGUUUUUGUACGAUUUAAUUUAAAUAGCAAAUCAACUCCAAAAAUCCCAAAAAUUUGUGUGAGCAUAGCUUGGUGUGUCUAGUUUAUGUGUAUAAAAUUUCGUUGGAUUUGGAUAAGUUUAAGUUAGUCUAAUAAUUAUUGUUCGGUGGCUGGUCAGUGGAGACAGCCACCCCGUUUUUGUGACAUUUUAAGUAUUUGGAUAAAACAAUCUUCUGCGGGAAAGACCAUUAUUUUCAUAUGCUACAAUUGACAAAUCUCAGUGUUAAUAAGGAAAAUUAAUAAGAUUAUUGUGGGCUACUUUGUGGUGCGUUAUAAUUACUACCACUAGGUCCUAAGUUGGGAAUGUAGACACAAACAAUGAAAUAACAUAAGUUCCUUUCCAAUUUUUGUUCACUCAACUCCUUAGCUUAUCGUUGCCCAAAUGAUUGCAUCAAUGAAAACAUUCCCAAAUAAUAUCACCAAGAUAUUGAAUAAAGUCCCAAAAAUUUACAAAUUUGAGGAAGUAUAACCACGCCAUAUCUGUCACUUUCAUAUGUGAUCCAACAAAAUUUCUCAUGAAUAACUUAUAGAUGAAACUCAGGUAAGUCAAUACAAGGUCAUUGUUUGUCCUAAUAAACCCACAUUCUCUACCUGCCUUAUAUAAUAAACAUGAAUAUAUACACACACAAUCAAUAAACAAAAGAAACCAUUAAUCCGACCCUGCUUAAAGAUCCAAAUGAUUGCCAUCAACCAGUCAAAAUCCGAAAAACAAACCACAAAAAACCACUUCACAAGAAAAAUCCUCCAACUUUGGAGACACAUUGGUCCACCUCCACCACUAGAACACCACAUAAACAAACAACAUCAACAUCAACCCAAAUCAAACAACAUCAACAUCAAUCCAAAUCAAACAUAAACAAACGAAUAUAUACACACAUAUAAAGACAACCCUAUAUGUUUGUAUUUAUAAAGCAAUAUAUGUACAGAGAAGAAAUUUAAGUACCCGGCAACAAGGCGACAACCGGCCUCGUAGCGUUGCUGAUGCCGACCCGUACGGGCCACUAUAUCACACAUACUAAGCGCCCAAACCAAAAAAAAUCAAUCCUUUUUCUCUUCUUUUUUGAAAAUCUUCAACAAUUUCUCUCCUCCUCUUCCGCCAUUGAAAUCGUUCUGGUUCUUUAAUUUGGUUUUUUACGCGAUGUCACAAUGCUCACGCCCGCACCGGAUAAAUCUCCCAGCACUGGUUCUCUGGGCUUCGACGGCGGCAACCGGCGCUCCCUCGCAUCAUCCAAUGGCUGUAUAUUUCAGAUUUCGUUCUGUUUUUGUUUUUAGGGUUUGGUUGCAGAGAGAAAGAGAGGGAAAAAUGAGGGCUGGCUUAGGGGAGAGAGAGAGAGAGAGAGAGAAUAAAAUUAUAAAAUAAAUAAAUAAAAGCGGUUAGACCGGAUCGAAUCGGACGGUGAUGGUGGUCAAAGUCACGUGGUCGAUAGAUCAAAUGGGGACCCACUAUUGGGUUUUAUAUGGUACCGUUUGAUACGUGGGACGGGACGGAACGAAGUGGGACGGGACGGAACGGAGUGGGACGAGAAGUUCCGUCCCACGUUUGAUGCUCCUAAAACGGAUGGAACGCACUGUUCCACGGGACGAGUUUUGGAUAAAUUUUCAUUCUACCUCACCCAUUGGAAUGACUUGUUUCACGUCCGUGGAACACAAUAUUAUAACAUUUCCAUCUCCUUCUUCUUCCUCCUUAUUUCCAUCUGAGAGCAUCUUUGCUCCCUCUCCAUUACAUCCCGUCCCGUCCUGUCUGCAUACCAAAUAAUACCUAUAUACAUGCGAUUGGGAUCUGGUGGUUUUUGGAUCUUCUUGACAAAAUGGAGAAAUUUUUCAUUUUGACGGGACACGAGUAGGUACAUCACAUACUUUUAUGUAAAUGAUGAAAAUUUUUAUUUUUUAAGUUAUUAACUUUUUAACACACAAAUCCUACUAUUUGUAUAGUGACAUGUGAUGUACCACCUCGUAUACAGUCACACUGAAAAAACUCUCGACGGAAUGGACUUCCUUGGUGUCGUACUUCCACGUGGCGUGUUGUGGAGCAUUAGCUGGCACUCGGAUUUGGUAUUGGUUACCGGGGGUUGUCAAUUUGGCACAAAGUGGUUGGGCGUUGCAGUGAAUUAGUUAAUCGUUGGAAGAAGAAUCAGCGGAUUAGUGGUUUUAGCUUUAAGGGAACGUUAACUCAUUGAAAAUCUCCAUCUUUAUUUCAUGAUUCACAAGGUUUGCAACAUUCAACUGCAAAUGCAAAGCCAUGGAAUCAACCAACCUUCUCAAAACAACAUUCCAAUACGUAGCUAUCCGCAUGUUUAUGCUUCCUUAGACUUUCAACUUCAACCUUCCCAAUACCACCAACAACUAUCUUAGAGGACGUUUCUCGUUGUCCAAGAUUCUCUCUAUGAAGGCAUUCUGCUUGGUCAUGAGUCUAUUCCAUUCGGAUGCAUAUUCAGGAUUACAAGUGUAAUCUGUAUGUUUCUCCAUUUCCACAAUCUCCAAGAUCCAGUUCAAUGACAUUUCUUUCAUUUUUGCUAUGAGAUUAUGGCCAGCUCUUCGGGUGGCCAACUGAAGAUGAAAGUAGUCUUGCGUGUUACGCAUUAGCACAGAUAGAACCACAUCCUCAAUAUAACUCCACACCUGCAACAAACCUGAUGGGUAUAUCUGAAAUCCCUCUCACUUUUCCCUGCAAAAUGAAAAGAAAGGCGUUGAGCGGUAGAAAAUUGGGAAGAGCAAUACCUUUAGCUUCCUCCAAAAUCCUCAUCUCCUCUAUUAAGAAGUUAACUUUCGGGUCACUUCCGUUGCACACUUAUGAAGUUCAUCUGAGUACUGAUUGAGGAUCUCGACCAACCUAGCAGUGUAAUGCAAAUGCUUGUCAUCAGGGUUCUAGUCAAAUUCUCCUCUAACAAGAAAUUUCAUGUGGGAUUCUUUAGAUAAUCCAAUAAUGUGCAUCAAAACUGUCGUAGCCUCACCAACGGAGGACAAACACCUUGGCAUUUUGUUAAGCUCUGAAAGGUAAGAAUUCAGCUUGUCAUCAAUCUUCUUAACAAUAUCCUGUAAAUUCUUGGAUAUGCUCACUGUUCUAAAAAUUCCCGCCUAGCAUCGCCGCGCUAGGUAGUUGGCUAUCAUCCCGAUUAAUGUCUAGGCGUUUGAAAAUUAAAAAAGAGCUCCUAGACCUGCUAAGGCCCUCCUAGACCGUCUAGACACCCGCCUAGCCCAUCCAGACCCACCUAAGCACCCUCUUAGGUUGAAACUCAUUUAAACAGAAAAUAGAUAGCUCUCAUGCGGAUACAAGCAACCUAGGGUUACUGAUACUGACAAGAAAAAGAAGGGGACACUUUGGACGCGGUCCCUAGUUAUUAAUAUUCUUUGAUUGAAACCUUGUUAGUAUUUAGUUUUUGAUUGAGAUCCCUGACAUUAAUGUAAUAAUGUAAGUCACUAUAGUUUUUAAAUUAAAAACUAAAAAUUGAAAUUUGUAAUUGUUUAUAUUAAUGAAAUUUUAAAUAAAACCCAUAAUUUAUGGGAUUAAAAAUAAUAAAAUAUAAAUUAUACUCUCUAUUAUAUUGUGUAUGUGUGUGUGUAUAUAUGUACACAUAUAUGUAUGGGUACAUUAACCAAAAUUAACAAAAAUAGUUAUUGUACCAAAACAUGGAUACAUUCUCAAAUUAACGAAAAAUAAUGUACCCAUAUAAGUUUAAACAUGGAUUAAAAAAUUUGAAUGGAUUUUAUAUUAAAAAAGGAUACAUUUUACAUAUAACAAAUUGAUAUACUUGAGAAUGGGUACAUUUAAGAUUAAAAAAAUUGAGAAUCUUUUUAUAUAUAAAAAAAAACUAAUAGGUACAAACUUAAUUUAAUUUAAUUUUUUAUUAUUUUGGAAAUGUUUGAAUUGAAAAUUAAUUAGAAGUUUAAUAGAGGUGUGAGUAUUAAACCCUAAAUUAAUUACUAAUUUUUAUAUUAAAAAAAUAUAUAAUAAACAUGUAAAUUCAUUAUUACAUUAAUACUAGGGACUUGAAUCAAAAUUUAAGAACUAAUAAGGUCUUAGUCAAUGAACAGUAAGAACUAAGGACCGGAUACUAAUUUUUCCAAAAAGAAAAGAACUAGGGUUUAUGUUUGAGUUUGUUUUCCUCCACCCAUUUCUGAUGAAAAGCAGGAGUUGCGAAGAGUAAAAUAUUUUCUGAUGAAAAGCAGGAGUUGCGAAGAGUAAAAUAUGAGAGAUGAUGAUAAAUUGAUAUUACAAUACGUUGGCAAAUAUAGCACCCUUUUGGACUUCCACCAUUAACCACACUUUGUUAAUUGAAAUGAAACCAGGAGUCACCUCAAAAAUAAAUACGAUACGCAUCUUUCUAGCAAUGUAAUUGAUAUUGGAUGUGCUUAAUUACUCCAGGAGAAAUAAUAAAGAAUUGUAUUUUUUUUUAUUGAAUUCAGAAUUGUAUUUUUUUUUAUUGAAUUCAGAAUUGUAUUUACUUUGUACUGUUGUACUGGCACUUAGGCUCAAAUAAUCUUUUUCCUUGAAGCACCAGAACUUAUAUUUGAGAUGUAAAAACCAUAUUUCACAAAUUUUCGGUGCAUUAUUCAUGUUUAAUUUACAGGGAAGCAAUUGUUUAAUAAAAUCAAAGUAAUUUUGAAAUGAAAUCAAGUAAGGUUUUAUGGGCCAAGAAAUCCAUUUCUGAUCUUUGGACUUUACCAAACAUGAAAAACUUUCCAAACUCUCUUUUCCACACACUAACAUAGGCUAAAAAAACAUUGACUUGCAAGUUAAGUCAAUAAUCUAAAACAUUUGUAUAAAAAUAUUUUUUGUAAAUAAUGUAACAAAUACAGGCCCUAAACCCUUUUUUGGGCCGAGAAUAAUUCCAUCAGAGAAAUAAGAGACCUUGCAUGUACUUAUAAAUUAUUGGGUUACUCCUUAUUAGGGAUGAGCAACGGUUGUGGCAGGCGGGUAACCACGGUUAUUUACUCAUAACAGUUUAUGUUCAUACCCGCAUAACUGUUUAGCCGUUGGAUAAUUGCCUAAACGGUUAUACUCAUACCCAUAACCGUUUAUAAACGGUUAACCUUACCCAUAACCGCAUACUCAUUUAACUGCAACUGUUUAAUACUUAUUUACCCAUUUACCCUUUUUAACCAGUUUAUCUUUUGUUUUUUUAUUAUUACCCAUUUUUCACCCAUCUACAUGUUUUUAACAACUUGUAAAUAAAUAAAAAUUGUCAUAAUUUUCUUUUUUUUUGACAAUUAAACACCAUUAUAAUUCAUCAUACAUUUCCGUAUUUUAAUUUUUUUAAGUCCUUAUACCAUUCUAAUAAUUGAAAUAAUAGUUUACGGACGAUAUUUUUAACUGUUAUCAAUGAAGGUAAUACUAUUUGUUAAGUAUUCUUGGGUUACGAAAACUAUUUAGAAGAUAGUAUUUUUGGGUUAUUUAACCCAUAAUGUAAAGUAUUAACAUAAUAUAUAUAUAUAUAUAUAUAUAUAUAUCUAAUGAGCUACAUUAUAUUAUAAUUAGCUAUAUAAACCAUGCACUAUAGUUAAUAGCAUUGAUCUAAAUUUUGUCCGAUAGAGAACAUGGUUAGGAGAAGGAUUACACUUGUUGACCAUGAAUCAUGUCUUUUCGGCAACAAUCAAAAGAUGCAACAUUCAAAUGGAAAAGAUGUGAUUGUUGGGUUAAUAACACAACUCCCCAUCCCCUGUCAAACAGCCGCACGCGCGCACACACACACACACAUAUAAAUAUAUAUAUAUAUAUUAUUUUUAUUUUUAAAAUAUUCAACAUUACAUAUAUAAAAUAAAUGGGUAAACGGUUACCUGUUUAUAACCGCGGUUAAUUCCCAUAACCAUCCAUUUAAAUUUCACAAGUAAACGGUUAUACCCAUAACCGUUUAUUUAUCUAAAUGGUUACUCAUAACCGUAACCGUAAAGUUUAAAUUGGCGGGUAACCGCGGUUACCCAUAACUGCGGGUAUUUUGCCCAUCACUACUCCUUAUAUUGUCAUUUGAUUUUAUGGUAGAAUUUCAACUUCUUCAUGGUAUUAAAGCAAGUUGUCCCUCGUUACUUCACUCAAUUUAUUUUGUCCACCUAUUUGGCUUGAAAGUUUGCUCUUGCCCUAGGGGAGGGGGGUGGGUGGGUGCUGGAGUAUCCGUCCAACAUCGGGGAAAUAAGUAACCUUGCACGUGUGUAUAAGUAUUGGGCUACUCCUAUAUUAUCAAUUGAUUUUAAGAUAAAUUAAUAAAAAUAGCUUUAAAACUUUAAAUAUUAACCAAAAGCAUGCAAACAACUUUAUUUAAUAAUUAGGGACAAAACAGCCUAAUAAAUUUGGCCCAAGCAAGUACCCUAUUGAGUUUCCAAAUUUACCCUUGACGACAAGCCUUAUCCCGUUUAAUCUCUCUCUCAUCUUUCUCGAUCUCUCCGCCUAAAUUCUAUUUUCAUUUUUGUUUAUUCAAAUCCAAUUCUCCGUUGAAUUCGACGAAGGUAUCGCAACACAAAACUUUUUAACCCGCAACAAGAUGAUAUCCUUAACCAAAUGUCACCACCGAAAGAGAAACACUAGAUCUAAAUUACCAUCACAUGCUCCUGCAAGUAGAACAAACGAAACAAAUGAUAAGCGAAUGCGGCUAAAGGGGGCAUCUAAGACACCCUUGCUUUGGGCAAAAUCGCAACUCGCUUGACCCCGAUAUUCUGGUAAGCCAGUCGAGUGAGGAUCAAUCAGGGACGUAUUUGGAUAUGGCGACCAGAUCCGGAUUGCCGCUCCUAGUGUUGUGCACACGUUGUGGGAGGGGGGGGUUUUCUAUGUGAAAAAGGUGCCAACGAGGGAGAUGGAAGAAAAGAGUGUUGGCAGUUGAAAAUGGUGGGUUGCAGGAUGGAGGUUAGAUAUUGCUGAAGACAAAAUACGAUUAUAAAUAGUGCCGUUUUCUGGGAUUUUUUAGGCUUGGGGCAAUGUCAAAAAUAUGCCCUAGCUUUAUAUAAGAAAAUUAUUUGUUUUCACAUGUAAAAUUUUGAUAAAAUUAUACUUAGAAAAGUACUUCAAAUAAUAAUUUUAUAAACAUGGAAAAACUAAUUUGUUUUGUACCGAAAGAAUGAAAUAAAAAAAUCCAGGCUUACAAGUAGAUAGACGAUGAGUUUUGUUUUCCUUUUAUCUAAACUUUUAAAGUAUUUUUGUAUAAAUCGUGAUGUGUUUUUUUUAUUUACUAACCUUGUCAAUAUGAGAUCCAAAAAUAAUGAUGUUUUUGAGUCUUUAAUUGAUAUGUAUAAUUAAUGAAUGAGCACUAAAUUAAACUUGUUAAUGACACGUCAUAUGAUUUGUAAAUUUUGUCUAAAUAUUUGGUUUACGCAUUACUCUUUGUUGAAUGUUAGACUUGAAUUGGAACGAAUGUCAUGUAUAUAGCAUUUCGAACUCAUGACCUCUCAUUAAUUUUAAUCAACAAAAACCUUUUAUUCUUAUUAAACUUCUUGAUCAUUUAGCUAAAUUUUGUAAAUUUAAAUAAACUCUCAUGAAAAUAAAUUUGUAAAGGUUAGAAAAGUAAAAAAUAAAUAUAAUGUUUUGAAUCCAAGACAUUCUCGUUAAUUUUUAAACAUAAACCACAAAAUUGCAAAAAUUGGAGAAUUGUAAACAACUCGAUUUAAUUUGCCCAAAUUCUAGUAGUUGGAUUUUGCUUAUCAGUCUCAUUAAGUCGUACUAGAUCUUUCAUGUUAGCGGUCCAUGAAGACUUCCUCCAACUCUGCUCGCAAGGAGUUGGAAGUCGUGCGUUAUAUUGAUUUCUUAGAAGUUUUAGAGCAAAAUAGAGUAUCAACUAACUUCUGGUCUACUGGUACUUUGUUGAUAUGUGAAAUAUAGAGGACUUGAACCGCGUAUCAAACCUUCCCAUACGAUAAGAAAAAAAAAAGAUUUUUUAUUGGCUUUUAAGCCAAAAUAAUCACUGACAUUAAUAUAAUUUUUUUUGUCUCUAAAUUUAAAUUAUUUUACUCUUUCAGUACAAAAUCAUUUUGGUUAUUCUGCUAUACUAGAUUCCAUAUAGCUCAUCAAUUGAAGUAAAGAUUUGAAGCAACUCAGAAAGGUUUUAACUAAGAGGACAAAAAUAUGUUGUAAGUGAAUAGUACCUAAAUGAUUUUUUAGAGUAAAAAUAUCAUUUUCGUUAAAAAUAAACAUUACCGAAAAAGUUUCGUUAAAACUUCCGAGAAACAAAGAUAAACAUCCAUGUAGAUUAUAAGCAAACUGCACUGUUAAUUAAGUAGGAACAUAUCAUACACGGGAACACAUCGAGGUAAACAGGAACACAUCGAGGUACAUGAUAAACAAAAUAUGUUCUUGUUUAAGUAGAAACCGAUCAUCCACACAUGGAUGACAACUAGAUAGCAAACUAGAUAUUAAACUAGAAAUUAACAGACCAUUAUUGUUCAUAGUAUGCAUCACGCAAUGCACAUAAGUUAACC
rnacentral:lncRNA from 1 species